rnacentral:lncRNA from 1 species
AUCCAUAUUCCCACAGUCCAGUCCCAAAUCUCACAUUCCGAGCCCACAGUCAACAUCCCAACCCCACAUCGUACAGCCCACAUCCCAAUCCCAGUUCCAAAUCUCAUUCCCAGUCCCUCAUCCCAAGCCCAUCACCCACCUGUCAAUCUCAAUCCCUCAUCCCAAUCGCAAUCCCACAUCCCCGAUCCCAAUUCCGAUCCCAAUCCCAUCCCCUAUGGCAAUACAGAGCACCCCGAGGCCCCGCCCCCACAGCCGCUCCGCCCCGCCCCCGGCCUCUCACUGGUCGGCGACACUUCCGGUCCGUUCGCGCCUCUCAUUGGUCGGCGGCAGUUCCGGCCCGCCUCCGGUCUCGGAUUGGUCGGCGGCAGCGCCGCCGGCUCCGAUUGGCUAAGGCGCCGAGCGCGGGAGCGGCCGUUGCUUCCGGCUCGGAGCCCGCCGUCUUUCCUCUCCGACGCCGCCGGUCCCGCAGGCGCAGGCGCUGCGCGCCGGAGCUGUGCGGGCAGCACCGAGACGGAGCCGCGGCACGACGGGAGCGGUGCUGAGGAAAGCGGCACAAGCCGGAGGUGUGCGGGAGAACGGCUUGGGCCGGGGCCGGGGAGAGGAACCGUGCGCGGGAUGCGGGGCUUUGGGACGGCUGAAGGACUCGGGGCCCAACCGCCGCAGCGCUGCUGCCCGCAUCCGGGCCGUGCCCCCCCGAGGCCUCCGGCGCUGCUCCCGGUGCCGCCCGUGGCUGAGGUGAGCUGUGGGUCCGGGGGGCGGUGGGGGAGAUUUGGGGGGAUGUGGGAGUUUAGGGGCUGUGGGGGCUACAGGGGGGCUGUGGGGUAAUAUGGGGUAUGGGGGGUAUACGGUAAUGUGGGGGAAUAUCAGGGGAUGUGGGGGAGAGUCGGGGGAUGUGAGGGUAUAGGUACUGUGAGGAAAAUAUUGGGGAAUAUGGUGUUGGGGGGCUAUCAGGAGGGAUGUGGGGUUAUGAGGCGCUUUAGGGGGGCAGUAGAGGGCUAUAGGAGGGUAUGGGGCUCUAGGGCUUCGGGGGCCUUAGGGGUGGAUAUAGGGGUUCGUGGGGCUAUAGGGUGCUUUGUUGUGGCUACAGGGAG